GAUGAAGAACGCAGUGAAAUGCGAUAAGUAAUGUGAAUUGCAGAAUUCAGUGAAUCAUCGAAUCUUUGAACGCACAUUGCGCCCAUUAGUAUUCUAGUGGGCAUGCCUGUUCGAGCGUCAUUAAGUCCACUUAAGCCCUGCUUAGUGUUGGGAGACUGCUCCAGCGGUGCUACCCUGUAGCUACCCUGCAGCUCCUCAAAGACAGCGGCGGAGUUGUGGUAUCCUCUGAGCUUAGUAACUUGUUCUAGCUUUCGAGUACACCACUUCCCCUGCCGUAAAACCCUUAAUUUUUAAUGGUUGACCUCGGAUCAGGUAGGAAUACCCGCUGAACUUAAGCAUAUAAUAAGCGGAGGA
rnacentral:misc_RNA from 1 species